rnacentral:rRNA from 1 species
UCGAUCCUAAGCCCUAGGUGAAAACCGAUGUUAAUGUUUUCGGUGUAUUAUUUGUGAGAUAAUCGUGAUAUAUGUCACGUGUAUUAUUACAUAUUAUACAGACAUAUAUGUCGUUGUAUGCGACCGUUGUACGUAUUAUGUAUAUAGUAUGCGUGAUAAUGAUAUAUAUAAAUAAGAACAUACACCCGUCGGGCGAAAGGGAAUUCCCGGGUU